GCUUAACGCGAAGAACCUUACCGGGUCUUGUACACACCGAGGGGCACGGGGGUAACGCGAAGAACCUUACCCAGACUUGACAUCCUUGGAAGGCCUCCGAAAGGAGACUGUGCCUUCGGGAACCAAGUGACAGGUGUUGCAUGGCCGUCGUCAGCUCGUGUCGUGAGAUGUUUGGUUAAGUCCAUCAACGAGCGCAACCCUUAUAGUUAGUUGUAUUUCUCUAGCUAGACUGCCCUGGUAACAGGGAGGAAGGAGGGGAUGAUGUCAGGUCAGUAUUUCCCUUACGUCUGGGGCUACAAACACGCUACAAUGGCCGGUACAAAGGGCAGCCAAGUCGCGAGACGGAGCGAAUCCCAUCAAAGCCGGUCUCAGUUCGGAUAGCAGGCUGAAACUCGCCUGCUUGAAGCUGGAAUCGCUAGUAACGGUAGGUCAGCACACUACCGUGAAUACGUUCCCGGGUCUUGUACACACCG
rnacentral:rRNA from 1 species